AUAUAAACUCUAAGAGAAAUCAGUUAGUUA
rnacentral:rRNA from 1 species